AGCGUAUUCACUUGGUCCCCCAGGCAGCCCAGGCCCUCGUCCCGUUUCCCGCCUAGGGUCCCCGCUCUUCAGGGCUCCCUUUUGGCCGCGCGGGGUCGAGUCGCGUGGGUCCCAUGGCCCUUAACACCUGGGCUACAGCACAUCCUACAAUGGCCGGUAACAGAGGGCAGCAAGACCGCCAGGUGGAGCUAAAUCCCAAAAAUCCGGUCCCAGUUCGGAUCGCAGUCUGCAACUCGACUCCGUAAAGUCGGAAUCGCUAGUAACCCCAGAUCAGCUAUCCUGCGGUGAAUACGUUCCCGGGCCUUGUACACACCGCCCGUCAAGUGACCUGAGUCGGUUGCACCCGAAGUCGAUGGCCCAACCCGCAAGGGAGGGAGUCGCCGAAGGUGUGGCCGGUAAGGGGCGCUAAGUCGUAACAAGGUA
rnacentral:rRNA from 1 species